rnacentral:rRNA from 1 species
ACGCGUGGAACCUUACCAGGUCUUGACAUCCCAUUGACCGCUAUGGAGACAUAGCUUUCCCUUCGGGGACAGUGGUGACAGGUGGUGCAUGGUUGUCGUCAGCUCGUGUCGUGAGAUGUUGGGUUAAGUCCCGCAACGAGCGCAACCCUUGUUCUUAGUUGCCAUCAUUUAGUUGGGCACUCUAAGGAGACUGCCGGUGACAAACCGGAGGAAGGUGGGGAUGACGUCAAAUCAUCAUGCCCCUUAUGACCUGGGCUACACACGUGCUACAAUGGACGGUACAAACGGUUGCCAACCCGCGAGGGGGAGCUAAUCCGAUAAAACCGUUCUCAGUUCGGAUUGUAGGCUGCAACUCGCCUACAUGAAGCCGGAAUCGCUAGUAAUCGCGGAUCAGCAUGCCGCGGUGAAUACGUUCCCGGGCCUUGUACACACUGCCCGU